rnacentral:lncRNA from 1 species
GAUUGGUGGAGUAUAUAUUAAUUAUUCACUGCAGAGGGGGUUCCGUGGACCAGCCUAUUAAAGGGGCACGAUAAACUCCAUUAUAUUCUUACCUCGAACGGAGAGGCGCGUAGGGUGUCUCUUGGGGUAAAUCUUAGGGUUUACUUCACGCUAAACCACGACGUGAAGGGGAACUCAGCCAAUGCCAUGGAACGACUGUAUUUUUCUCAAACUAAAAAUAUAUUUUAAGUGUAUACAAAAAUUUUAACAACCUUAGCGGACUCGGUUGGAUGCCCUGCGCAAUGUAUCACCGAGUAUGAGUUUUGGUACGAGCCAAAGUUUUAAGAAAUUCAUAAGCCAAGUUGAUUACUCAAUUUAUAUGGAUUGAUUUUAUUUGGUUGAAAUGAGUUGAAAGGUAAUGAAAUUACAGUAUGAUGACUUAUUUCAAUUGUCUCAAUUUACUUGACUUUAGAUAGUUUAGAUGGUAUCUGUUUACUCAAUGGGAUUUUAUAAUCUCACCACUCUUAUUUCCUCACAUUUCAGGCUUGGGGAAUUCCAUAAUUAGCUGACUUGACAAGGACCUUCAUUUAGACUCGAAUCGGUAAAAGCUGUAGGUUUCCAGCUUCCAACGCAUUUUGGUUAGAUGUGGGCCCACGUGUCAGUGUAAAAGAAAUUUUAUGCUUUGGUUAUUUGCUUUAUAGUAUAUAUGAAUAUAAUUAACUUUUACACUAUAAGAAUUAUGUACCGAUAGUUUUAUGAAAAUUAUUUUACAAGAAAAUAGUUUAUUUUAUUGAAUAUUUUUAUUAUAUUCAAAUGGUUAAAUUUUUACUUCAAAUGAAAAUUUUAGAUACUUAAUUUGUUUUUAAAUCAUUAAAUAUAUAUUUUUUGCUUACCUACUACAUUUUUAGCCAGUUUCGAGAUUUUUGACAAAAAUAACAAAAAUGCCCAUGUGAGCCAGAAAACAAUAUGUUAUGUUCUAAUUUGGAAAUGAUUGUAAUCCUUCGAAUUUUGAUAUUUGAUAACUAUUGCGCACCGGGGAAGUGCGAAAGCUGAUACGAUAGCCUUGCGAGGUUUCGAUCGACAUUCGGGGUGAAGAAUGUUUGUCGAGGCCUCGCGGCGGUUGUCACGGGCUCGAUGGGGAGUUUCGGGUCUUGACAAUUUAGAUUGGUAUCAGAGCAUGGUUUAAAGAUCAGAGAUUUUGGUUUUAAAGCUUUGGAUUUUAAAGAUUUUGAUUUUAUGGUUGUUUUAAGAAAUCCACAUUGACACUGCGUGGCCCCAAGUCCAGUUAAGUUAAGUUAAGUUAAAUUAGGUUAGAUUUAAUAGAAUGUAUGCAUCUACAUAUAGAAAUCUACCUACUUUUGAGAUGCAUAAAUAAUUAAAUAAUUACUAUUUGACUGCAUAUAGGUUUUGAGGUGCACUAGUGACAUACACACCAUGUCUAGAAGAGGUGGUAGUCUCGAUACCUCUCAUAGUGAUAGCGAGGGAUCUCUAGAUUCUACGGCUAGAAGCAAAUGGCACCUGGAUACAGGUAAUUCGGAAGGUGGUCAAUCCCGAAUUCCUAAUAACAGAAUUCCUCUGAACUUAGUAGAAUGAGUUCAUAAUAAGGAAAGCUUUGAGAGUAGCUAGAAUUUUGAAAGUGAGAGUAGCUCCAAUAUUCUGAAAAUUGAAACAGAUUUCCUUUUGAAACAAUCCAAAGAGUACCAUAGAGAACAUACGAGGAAAGCAAUUACAAGGGGAGAUAUUCGUCUUAGGAAGGGGGUAAACAUUGUACGCCAUUUUCCUCCUGGAUGUGGAAGAAAUGCUGCACUGGUGAGUGCCGAGGAAAUUAGGAGAAGACAACAAGCCUAGAUUGAAAAGCAAAGAAAAAAUAUCUCAAGAGAAGGAAAACCCGGAAGAGGAUCUUUAGGAGGACUCGAAGUAGAAUCUUCCAAUAAGAUCAGAUUAAAAUGAUGAUCCCAAGGACAUGUAAUAUUUUGUAGGAUUUUACAGUACCUUAACUCUAAGUAGAUGUUGUGUAAAAGAGAUAAUAAUGAUCUGUACAAAGAAGUAAAAAUAGUUAGGCUUUUAAAAGUAUAUGACUAGAAUGUAUUAUAAAAUAGUUGUUUAAGUAACUGAAGGUAUAUGGGAAUCUUUAGUAUGAUAGGGAUAAAUUGGUAAUAUAAUUAUUGAGGAAGGUUAUAGAAUGAAGCAAUAAGGUUAUAAAUGACAUUCGAAAUGGAUAAUGUGAUUAUGUUAAUGAUUGUAAUUUAAGUAUGAAGGGGAUUAUUCAGUGAUGUUAUGACACUAUGAGGUAAUAGUUGGGCACAAAUAACCCAAUAAAGUUAAACUAUGGAAUAUGGGGAAUAUAAAAUUUUGAUUCAGUAAGGAUUGCGAGAAUAAAGUGAGGAGGAAGCUGGGCUGUUUUCGUAGUUAAUUAUACCAAAAGUCAAUAAAAUUAUUAGAGUAUAAGACAAAGAAGAUAAUUGGAUAGGGAUGACAAUAAAUUUGAGGAAAGUUGUAGAUAGUAAGCAACUUAUAUGUGGAAUGGUAUAUGUAUCAUGAAUUUAUUACACUGUAUGGAAAGGAUGUUUUAAGGUGGAAUUUUAUGAAUGUUGAUAGAGGUAAAAAGAUGACAUGAGAUGAAAGUAUUAACUUGGCUUAGUGCGUAUGACAAGGAAAUAGAAAGUACCUAUACUUAUGGAACUCAUGAUAUAUGUCUAGAAGAGAAACCCACUGGUUGAGAAUGAUUGAUGUGGUGACUUUGAAUGCAGACAAAUAGUUUUGGUGAAGAAAAUUUCCAAUAGCUACAGUACUUCAGCAUUGACUGUUUAACGCUAUAAUGCUCCAAAUACCUCGCGCCUAUGAUGCAUGAGUAAGAUGGGAGUGACACGAUAAUGAGCUUACAAAUUGAAUUUUGGUUAUUGGUUAUUGUGUUUUGUUAUCUGGGAGUUUUAAAUAUUCUAGAGAAUGUUUACCCAAAUGAAUUGAAAAACUUCUUUAUUGCCUUGUAUAUAGGCAUAUAAUUAAAAGAAAAAUUGAAAGAUUCUUGAAAUGACUAUAUUGAGAUGAGAUACCAAAUAAUGAAAGUGUGAAGGAAGAAUUAUGAGACUGGUAUAGAAAAUCAAUUUAUAUAGAAUAUCAUUAUGAGAAUUUGUAAUAUCUGUUUUAAUACAGUAAAAUGACAAGAGUUAGGAACAACAUGAGGCUAAUUGUGUGACACUCUAGAAACCUAUGAAGAUGAGUUAUGGAUUGAAUGGAUGAGUACGUAUUUAUAUAUCUUUAAGAGUAAGUGUUUUAGGAAUACAUAAACAUCUUUGAGAAGAGAUUCUAAUCAUAUACAGCAAGUAUGAAACGUAAAAUUUUUAAAACUUGUUGAGAAGCCUAACGGCUAAAUCACAAGUUAAGGGAUCACAUGCUGUGAGACAUAAGUUUAAGAUAGAUAUUUCCAAGGAAAUACUCAAGAGAAGUUUUGCUCUGGAUCUCGUUAAAGUAAGCACUAAGUUAUGUGAUUAUAAAAAUAAAGCUGUAAGCUGAGAGUGAUAUUAGUAUUAAUACUGAAAAAUACUUGAGGAGAAUCUAGUUUUAAGUUUUACAAUUUCAAAUACAAUUUAUAAAUUGGUUAAGGAAGAAUGAUGUUAUGUUCAUAUGAAGGAGUGGAACAAAAGAUGAUAGAAGUUUCGUAAUAUAUAUUACAGAAAUUGAAAUUCGAAUAUGCUUGAGGUAUACAUGAUUCAAAUGAGUUUGAGUCUUAAGUGACAAAUCAAUAUCGUAAUGCAAGAAAGAUACAAGGUAAUGUAGAGGUAUGAAGGAUAAUCAAGGAAAAAGGAUGACUCUUAGGAAUUGUGGUAUUGCAUGAGAUGCAAUGAUCAAGUUAAGAUAAAUCUUUGAGGCAUCAAUAGGAUUAUAAAGCAUACACGCAUAAUAGAUUAUAAUUCAAUGGAGAUGACAUUGUGAUGCAAUGAUAUAUAGUAUAAGGAAACUCAAACAUAUGAUUGGAAAAGAUAUGAAUGAUAUGAAAUUGUACGCAAGUAUAAUAAGAAGGUUGGCAUGCACUAUAAGAAUCAUUAUAUUGAAACUAGAAUUUGAAUGCGAAUGAAUAAAGGGAAAUGUAGUCCAAGGUAUGUGAACACAUGAAUCUCUAUACAUAACGAAAGAUGUUGACAUUUGAAAAUACAUGUACACAUGAAUAUAUGAAAUUGAUAAUUUGACUAACUAAGGUGAAGAAUUGUUCUCAGUAAUUGGGAGAUUUUGAAAUAAUGCUAGAGGAGGUCAGUGAGUUAAAGUGUUAACGGACAUGCAAUGAAUGAUUAAAGUUAUGAGUGACUUUGAAGUUAAACUUUGGAUUGUUUAAGUUCUUAAUGGAACCCUAUUAAAGGAAGGGUAUGGAUCAGUAUAAGAUGAAUGAAUUAAGGUUGAGAAAUUUGGUAUGGAGCAAAUUAAUAAAAUGAUGAAUAGGUAUACAUAAGUAAGUAUGAUUGUGAUCGAAAUCGGUAUAAUUGAGAUGAAGUUAUGGUUCAAAUUCAAUAAUGGUGAUAAAGGCAUGCUUAGUGUCUCGAUAUAAGAGAUCAUGGUUGUAAAAAGUAUUACUGAUCUGGUUUCAAAGGAUGAUAAUUGACAUAAAUAAAGCAUUUAAUUGAACUGAAGGUGAACGAGGUAAAUAAAUUGAAUGUCCCCAUAGAAGGAAUAAGGAGUAGGAUCAUACAAGGAGAUUGAUAACGCAACAUCGACGGGAAUUCGAGGACGAAUUCUAUUUAAGUGGGGGAGAUUGAAAUACUCCGUACUUUGAUAUGGUGAUAAAUAAAGUUGAUCGAAUGCAAAUUGAGGUCAAUUAAAUUGUUUAAAAGUGAUAAAAGAUGAAAGGAGUAGUUUAAGAUAAAAUAUUUCGCAAGUGAGAAAAUAAUAAUAAAAUAAUAACAAUUUUAUCGGAGGAGAAUUUGUGAGAUAAAGGCGAUUCGGAAGUCAAGUGAGGCAUAAUAAGGUAUUUUGGAUACCAAGGAGACAAGAUAAAAUUUUUAAAAUAAAAUAAUAUUUUAUUAAUAAAAUAAUAUUAAAAUAUUAAUAUUUAGCUGGAUGUCAAAAUCAGUCAUGAAGAAGGAUCAUAUGGUUGAUCCAAGUGGGGGAGAAGAUGACAAACCCGACUCUAUAUAAAUAUUUUUCAUGACAUACAUGUGAUGGAUAGCAUGUUUGUAUGCUAGGAGAGUCCCGAAAAAUUUACAAAAGUCGGUAUUGUACCUAUACGUACAACAAAGUUGAUUUAAGCCUCGAACUAGAUCAAAUAGAGAAUUUACGAUGAAAUUAAGAAUUUUAAAGUCCUAAAAUGGUUUAAUAUGGUGAUUCGGAGUUCGAAGAUCAAUUUGGAGUCAAACCGAAAUUUUCAUUAUCUAGGGGCAAAAUGGUCAUUUGCCACCUGGGGACAAAAUGGGAAUUUUUAGAAAAGAUUUUUGGCCCCAUUUGACUUAUUGGAGUAUGAUUUGAGGUUUAGAAGUGAAAAAUAUUAAUUUCGGUAUAAUUUGGAGUAUAGGGCUAAAAUGGUAAUUUUACCACCUUAGGGGCAAAAUAGUAAUUUUUCAUCACCAGGACAUUUUUCCAGCACAUGGUCAUCCCUUAUCCUCAAUUUUGACCAUUGACUAAAUGUGUGGUGGAGAUAAAAAGGAUUAAAAUUUUUAAAGUUUUAAAAACGAGCCAAUGACAUGAUGCCACGUGUCAUGCCUUUAUUAAUUUAUUAUUUUUCUUGUUUAAAAGGCACAAAAAUCAGCCCAUCUUCCACCCCAUGGCCAGCCAAACCAGCAAGAAGAGAGAGAAAAAAAAACAAAACCCUAGAGAGAGAAAAUCAAAGAAAAAGUGUGAAUUUUCAAAGAUAUUAAGUGAAAAAGGUGAGAUUUUUUCUAUUAAGCUUGAGUUUUCUUAUUCCCAAGCAUUUCUCCUUAUUUUCCAUGCCUAAAUUACAUGUUUUCAUGAUGAGUUGAUGGCUUAUCAAAAUGGGUUAGGAGAGAGAAAGUUGUUAGAUUAAUUUGAUUUUAAGUUAUGUUAGUGUUUUUAGUUAGUUUAGCAUAUUUAGGAACAAAACAAUAAGAAAAGAAUUUAUUUUCCUCCAUUGCCAUUAUUGGCCGAAUUUUCUAGGGGAAUAUUGGCUGAUGAUCUUGAUGUUUAUUUGAGGAAUUAUGAUGAAUAAUGAUGAAUUAUGAGCCUAGAAAAAUAAUGAGAAUUUUUGGAGCAAAAAUAUGAAUUUUUACCCACUAGGGGUAUUUUCGUAAUUUACUAUCGGGACUGAUAAAUUGAAUCUCAUUCAUAGUCACUAAGGUAAUUUAAGUAUAAUUGGAGUGUAGAAAGUGAAAAGAAUUGAUUUGGAGUUAAAUUGGAGAUAAUAGGCCGAAUUAGGUCAGCACCGCAUUUAAACGGUAGUCGGAUAAGUUGUAUAUCAUAUCAUGCACAUAUACCGAGCCUGAAUUGAUUUUAUAAUGGUCAAGCAUUGAUGUGGUGAAUUAUGUAUUAUACAUUGUGGAUAGGGGGUGAGCAAAGUACACUGAUAAAAGUACAGUGAUUGUGCUUGGAGACUGAGAUUAGGAGUACAUCGACUCCUAGAACUGUGAGUGAACUUAUUAUCGUCUUAAUUAUCUAGAGUAGUUUUAUACAAUUGUGUGAUUUUAUGGAAAAUGGAUUUAAAUGGUAAAUUGCUAUGUUUUAGGAGAAAUUACGAUUUUAUAAAAUGAUUUUAUAAAUUUUUUGGAAAAUCGAAUAUUGGUUUUGAAAAUAGAGUAAUUGGAGAAUGCUUGCUUGUGUUGUAAAUUUAUGAUUUUAAAUUGAAUGGCUUAUGACAAUAUAUGAGCAUGAAUGGCUAAACUGAUUUUGGUGUUAGAAUUAUUUGUACUGAGUAUUUAGCCUUGAGAGGUUAGGUUGCGAUAAAUUGCCAUAUCAUGCAAGAAUGAAUUUUAUUGAUUGGUGGAGUAUAUAUUAAUUAUUCACUGCAGAGAGGGUUCCAUGGACCAGCCUAUUAGAGGGGCAUGGUAAACUCCAUUAUAUUCUUACCUUGAACGGAGAGGCGCGUAGGGUAUCUCCUAGGGUAAAGCUUAGGGUUCACUUCACGCUAAACCACCACGUGAAGGGGAACUCAGCCAACGCCAAGGAACAACUGUAUUUUUCUCAAACUAAAAAUAUAUUUUAAGUGUAUACAAAAAUUUUAACAGCCUUGGCGGACUCGGUUGGUGCCCUGCGCAAGGUAUCACCGAGUAUGAGUUUUGACAUGAGCCAAAGUUUUAAGAAAUUCAUAAGCCAAGUUGAUUACUCGAUUUUUAUGGAUUGAUUUUAUUUGGUUGAAAUGAGUUGAAAGGUAAUGAAAUUACAGUAUGAUGACUUAUUUUAAUUGUCUCCAUUUACUCGACUUUAGAUAGUUUAGAUGGUAUCUGUUUACUCACUGGGAUUUUAUAAUCUCACCACCCUCAUUUCCUCACAUUUCAGGCUCGGGGAAUUCCAUAGUUAGCUGACUUGACAAGGACCUUCAUUUGGAUUCGAAUCGGUAAAAGAUAUAGGUUUCCAGCUUUCGAUGCAUUUUGGUUAGAUGUGGGCCCACGUGUCACUAUAAAAAAAAUUUUAUACUUUGGUUAUUUGCUUUAUAGUAUAUAUGAAUAUAAUUAACUUUUAUGCUAUAAGAAUUAUGUACCGAUAGUUUUAUGAAAAUUAUUUUACAAGAAAAUAGUUUAUUUUAUUGAAUAUUUUUAUUAUAUUCAAAUGGUCAAAUUUUCACUUCAAAUGAACGUUUUAGAUACUUAAUUUGUUUUUAAAUCAUUAAAUAUAUAUUUUCUACUUACCUACUGCAUUUUUAGCAAGUUUCGAGAUUUUCGACAAAAAUGACGAAAAUGCCCCUAUGAGCCAGAAAACAAUAUGUUAUGUUCUGAUUUGGAAAUGAUUUGUAAUCCUUCGAAUUUUGAUAUUUGAUAACUAUUGCUCACUGGGAAAGUGCGAAAGCUAAUACGAUAGCCUUGCGAGGUUUCGAUCGACAUUCGAGGUGAAGAAUGUUUGUCGAGGCCUCGCGACGAUUGUCACGGGCUCGAUGGAGAGUUCCGAGUCGUGACAAAUUAGGAGUACAUCGACUCUUAGAUCUGUGAGUGAACUUAUUAUCAUCUUAAUUAUCUAGAGUAGUUUUAUACAAUUGUGUGAUUUUAUGAAAAAUGGGUUUAAAUGGUAAAUUGCUAUGUUUUAGGAGAAAUUGUGAUUUUAUAAAUUUUUUGAAAAAUUGAAUACUGGUUUUGAAAAUAGAGUAAUUGGAGACUACUUGCUUGUGUUAUAAAUUAUGUUUUAAAUUAUAUGGCUUAUAGCAAUAUGUGAGCAUGAAUGGCAGAGUUGGUAUUUGUAUCAAAAUUAUAUAUACUAUGUAUUCAGCCUUGAGAAGCUAGAUUGCGAUAAAUUGCCAUGUCAUGCAGAUAAGGAUUUUAUAAAUCAGGUGGUAGAUAAAAUAAUCCAUAGUCACUGCAGUGGUGGGGGUUUUCAUAGACUGCCUAUGAAAGGGGUACGGUAACCCAAUUAUAUAUUUACCUCCGGGGGGAGAUGUUGGAUGAAGUAUCUCCUAAGGUAAGAUUUGAGUGCACUUCACGUGGACCACUGCGUGAGAGUGAGACUCAGCCAACGCCAAAGAAAGGCUAUGUGUCAGAUGCGAAAACAUGUUUAUGGGUAUGGGACAUUUAACAACCUUGGCGGUCUUAGUGGGAUACCUUGACGAAGGUACCCGCAAGAAUGAUUUUGGCAAGAGCCAAGUUUUGUGAGAUAUAUAAGCCAUUUUGAUUAAUUGAGUAAACUGAAUAUUCAUGUUAUGAAACAUAUAUUAGAAAAGAAUAUUUUAAUUCGUCUCCAUUUACUCACCUUUAGAUGGUUUAGAUGGUGUCUGUUUACUCACUGAGAUUUUAUAAUCUCACCACCCUCAUUUCCUCACAUUUCAGGCUCAGGGAAUUCCAUAGUUAGCUGACUUUGACAAGGACCUUCAUUUGGACUUGAAUUGGCAAAAGCUGUAGGUUUUCAGGUUUCGAUGCAUUUUGAUUAGUUGGGGGCUCACGUGUCACUGUAAAAGUAAUUUUAUACUUCGGUUAUCUGAUUUAAAGUAUGUAUCAACAUAUUUAGCUUUUACACCAUGUUUUUGAUGGGUUUCGGUAUUUUCGAAAAAAAAUGACGAAAAUGCUCUUGUGAGUCAGAAAAUAAUAUUUUAUUGUUUUGAUUUGAAAAUGACUUAUGAUUUCUUGAAAUGCGAGAUUUAAUAAUUGUCGCUCACUAGGAAUAUGUGGAAGCUAAUGCUAAACCUUGUGGGGUUCCGAUCGACAUUCGGGAUAAUAAGUGCCUAUCGAGACGUCGCGGCGAUUAUCACGGGCUCGAUAGGAGUUUCGGGUUGUGAUAGUACGCCUCUGAUCAAGGUGUCAUCGAGUAUAUUUGAUGGCAUGAGCCAACUGUUUAUAAAAGUCAUAAGCCCUAAUGAGAAAUUAAAUGAAAUACAACCGUUUACAUGGGUUAUGAUGAAUUUUCAAAUUGUGAAAUACUUAAAAUGAUGGGAUAUUUUAAUUGUCUCAUUUUACUCGGCUUUAGCUGAUUUAAAUGGUGUUUGUUUACUCACUGAGAUUUUAUAAUCUCACCACCCUCCUUUCCACUCAUUUCAGGCUUAGAGUAGGCUGUAGAUAGCUAAUUCCAUCGAGGGCUUCUAUUGGAUUAGCGUCCUCCACACAGUAGGUUCACAGUUUCUUUAAUUCUGGUUAAUGUGGGCCCACUUGAAAUUGUAAAUUUAAUAGUUAUUGUGCUACAGUAUGAAUGAAUUUAUUUUGUUUUUACGUUAUAAAAAGUAUUUACGCAUAAUUCCAAAAUUUCUGUUUAUAAGAGAAUAAAAUAUUUUAUUGAAUAUUUUGUUUUAUCUUCUUAUUAUAUUCAAAUAAUUAUAAUUUCAUUUUGAAUAAAGGUUUUAGAUGCCUAAACUUAUUUUUAAUUGUGAAUUAUGCGAUUGGUACUUGUUUACUACAUUUUUAACUGAUUUUGAAAUUUUUAGUGGAAAAUGACCAAAAUACCCCUAUGAGACAAAAAUUUUUAUUUUAUCAGUUUUAAGUUGGAAAUAGCUCAAAAUCCUUUAGAACAUAAAAUUUGGCAACGGUUACUCACAGGGAAAAUGAGAAAUUGAUAUUAAGCCUUGCGAGAUUCCGAUUGACACUUCGGGAGAUAAGUGCCCAUCAGGGCACCGCGACGGUUGUCAGGGGCUCGAAGGGAGUUCAGGGUCGUGACAAUUAUAGUUCAAAAUUGGUAUAGAAAAGCAUUGACUUAAAAUUGUAAGAAUUGACGUAAAAACUUGUAAAAGUGAAAUAACUAAAUUUUAAAUCUUAAUGCAAAAUGUGUGAGAGUUAACAUAACAAGUUAAUUAAAUAAAAAAAAUUUUAAUUUAAUAAAAAAUAAAUAUUUAAAUUUCUAUUUUCUUGGGUUAAAAGUGUUUUACGAUAUAAAAUUGUAAGAAUUGAUGUAAAAUCUUAUGAAGGUGUAAUAAAGUUACUAUUAAAAGGGUUUGUCGUAAAAUUGUAAAAAUUGAUAUAAAAUCUUAUGAAGGUGUAAUAAACAGAUUUAAAAUUUUAACGUAAAUGUAUAAAAGUUAACGUAAAUAAAUUUUAUUUAAUUAAAUAUAAUUUUCAUAUUAAAAUAAUAAUAUUUUUAUAAUUUAUAAUAAAAAAUAAAAUAAAAUAAAACAUUAAAUAACUUAAAAUAAACUAAAUAAAUUUAAAAAUUAUUUACAUUAUUAUCUUAAAAUAAAAAAGUUUAAAAAUUAAAUAUGUAUUUCUCUGUUAACUUGUUAUAUAAAUUUUUAUUAUUUUUUAAAAAUUUUAUUAAUUGACGUUACAAUAAGGUUAAACUUACUGUAGUGCCCACCUGUUAAAAAUCCACGAUGACUCUGACGAGCCAAGCGAGCAGAGCGCAGCUGCUUAGGUCAUGGUAAUUAAUUUUAUAAUAAUAAUAAUAAUUAAAAAUAAUAAUAAUGGGGCUUACAGUUAGAGACGCAUGUAACCAACAAAAACUUAAGGUGGAGAUGAUUUCCACGCCUGGUCCACCCCGUCCAGUACUGCUGCAAAUGAAAGGUGAUGCGAAUUGCAUUAUACAAGGCAAGUACUAUUUGCUUCUCACCAAAAAAAAAAAAGAAUUACCAUAAUUUUGACGGUCUCUUCUUUUUUUUUUUUGUUAUUCUGAACUCGGACUCGAUCGACAUCUUUGAGUAAGUAACUUUGACAUUGAUUUUUUUGCAGUGCUUUCUGCUUGUUUCCCGUUUGUUUAAUUGGCAAUAUCCGCAAAUUGUUGGCUUAUGUAUUAUCAUAAUUUAUUUGGUUUGUGUUUCUUGAUUUUUUUUUCAGAUGGAUGAUGAAGAGCUUGGUGCUUACACGUUGGAUGAAGCCCUUGCCAUGGUGGGGUUCGGAAAAUUCCAAGGCCUUGUUCUUGCUUAUGCUGGGCUUGGUUGGUUUGCAGAAGCAAUGGAAAUUAUGAUUCUUUCCUUCAUAGGAGCUGCUGUUAAGUCAGAGUGGGGACUUUCCCCAAGUCAGGAGAGCCUGUUAACAACAGUUGUCUUUGCUGGUAUGCUCAUUGGGGCCUAUUCAUGGGGCCUUAUAUCAGACAACUAUGGACGGAGGCACGCCAGUUUUCCUUCUCAUUAUAUUCCUUCCAUCUCUGUGCUGUACAUGCCUUCUGAAUAGUAUUUGGCUAAUCUCUUCUGCCUAAAUUACAUAUCAUAAAUCAUUAAUUUUGCCCUUCUUUGCUAUUUUCUAUUUCUUUCCAGUUGAAGACAUGUCUAUGGCCGGAUGCUGAUCAAAUUGCUGAUUGAAUUUAUUAGUCAUAAGGCAUACUCCCGUGUUAAACUAUUGACUGAGUGUUGAGACUUGACACAUAUCAUAAAUCCUUUCAUAUGGAAUCAUGCAUUAAGAAAUCUACUUUCUUGAAUAUUCUUAUUCGACUUUUGAUUUGUUUCUCAAUUUUUUUAUUGUUUAUUUUAAUUUGCCCCUAUCAGGAAGGGUUUUCUUAGUACAGCUGUGGUAGCUAGUGGAGCUGGAUUUUUGAGCACAUUCUCUCCAAAUUAUUUAUCGCUCGUUAUUACUCGAGGUUUGGUUGGUUUCGGCCUUGGUGGUGGUCCUGUGUUCUUAUCCUGGUUUUUAGAGUUUGUUCCAGCUUCAAACAGAGGAAUGUGGAUGGUCAUCUUUUCAACUUUCUGGACAUUUGGAUCAAUUUUUGAGGCCUCACUUGCUUGGGUAUGUUUUAUUUUCUAUGUCCUCCGGUCAUGACACAAUAUAAGGGUACUCUUUACUAUUGAGUGAUGCUAUCUGUAGGAGCCUAUUGCUUGUUCUUGCUGCACCUAAACUAGAGAGUACUUUGAUUUUAUCUCUUAACCUUCUGGAGGCUUAGAGCUUGGAUCUCAAGUUUUUAUCAAUUGAAAGCAGUACAAGCAAAUGGACAAGAAAACUUAGGCCUUACAUAUUCAGCUUUUAUGUUCACCACCAAGAACCAGUGUUGUCAAGGUGUGCAACCGUGCACCUAGGCACUUAGACAUGGUUCAGUCAAGUAAAGCACCUUGCACCCCUCCAGGUGAGGUGCCUUUAAUCAGAUGCAUGCCUUGGUGCACACGAAAAGCUUGCCUAACUUAAGUAUCAUUUGCUUCUUUAGUUUUUGACUUCUUUUUUUUACCUAUUCUUUUAAUAAUUAAGAAGGACAAUUUCAGCUCUGUUUAGCAGAAGAAAAAAUUGAAUAGCACUAUAGACAAUGCACAAAAUUUUGUUGAAGAUGGUGUUGAAGGAAAGUUGGACAUUGUUUGAUGAUAUUAUGAUAUAUUCUUGAUUUUUGGCACAUUAGGCAAUGCAGUGAAGCAAUUUAUUUACUGUUUAUCAAAAAAUCGAUAUCAUAUCUGCUUAUUAGAUAUAAUACAUAGAAUUUUCUUUUUCUAUAUUUUCUAAUGAUCUUGUUGAAAUUAGCGCCUUACUUCACUCUGGUGAGCACUUUUAUUGUGACUAGAACCUAGAGUUUUCCCUGUGCCUUUGACUAAAUUACCAAGAACUUCAGAUAUUCAGUAAAAUUCUGUAUAAAUGGAUCUCUCCAUUCCUGUACCCAACCCAGUACUCCUUGGAACUCAUUGAGAACAGAUGUGGUUCAUGGAUAUGCUGCACAUGAUGCUUUUUGCUAAACUAUUUGUAUAGUGCUGCCUGUCUUAUCAUCCAACUUAAAAUUUUCUUUAUUUCAGCUAGUUGCUUUCAGUAAAUGCUUCAGACAGUUUAGUGUUCUCUUCUGUUCAUUCUAUCUAGUUUUUUUAUUGAGUUUGAACUCUGGAGAACCGGAUCAGGUUGUUGACCUUUAUUUUAUUUCAAGGUUGCUAAACACAAAUGCCACAAUCUAGAAAAUAAGGAGCCUUUGGAGAACUGUUUAUUCUUGAUUAAUAUGAACUUGAGAUUUUUCUUUCUGUGUAGUACAUUGUUCCCAACCAGAUAAGAGACAAAGACCAUAUGCAGUGGUAUUAUGUUUUACAUGCAGAUUUUUAGUUAACCUGUAGUAAACCUCUUUUAUGCUAUUAUAUUUCUGUAUUUUAAAUUUGCAGGCUCAUAAUUUUAAAGAUUUGAGACUUGAGGGCUGGUUUUUGAGGUUUUCAGUUUUGGCAUACAAAAGAUAUGCACCUUUUAAAGAAAUUCACCAUCUUUAUUUACACUUCAACAUAUUUUGAUAGUAAAUGUUCUUAGAUUCCUUUGAAAACAUUCCCUCUCACCUUUGAAUUGGUUGGUGUCCACAAAGGGACUUCCCUGGUACUUUUUUUUUUUUCUUUCAGCCUAAUUCCAGGUCUGGUUAGGCCCUGCCUUCUUGAACCAAAAAAGUUGCAGAAGAUAACUUUUUUAUUCUCUUUGACUUGUGAUGGUGGCAGAAUAAAUCUCUUGAUGUGCUUCUAUUUCACUCUUAAAAAUAUUGUCUACAUACUACUAACUACUAAGUUGCAAGUACAAUGGCAUUUUCCAUCUAGCCAAGGUUAUUUAAUAAUAAAAUGCGGAAUAUUAGUUAUUCAAAGCAUUUCUUAUCCAAGAAGAGGAUGUUCAAGGCCACAAGGGCACAUCUCUAAGUUUUAAUGGAUUACCUAUCACUAUCAUGGAAUAACUGCUUCGUAGCUAGAAGGGUUGUGUCUUAGCAAGAUUAGAACCUUUACCUUGUCAUCUCUCUGGGUGCUGGAGAUUGGAGAAGAAAACAAAGGGAAGUAGGCAAAGGCAGUUAAAUUCUCUGUUUGCAAUAAAAGAAUGUACAACUAAUAAAGUUUUAACCGUAUAUAGUAAGAGGGCAAACCCAUCUCUAUGAUUAAUUUGAUAAUUUAUCCAUAUAAGUUCUGUAGGGCCUAAAUGCUUAUUCUGUUGGUUACUUGGUCCAUUUCUUUAGAUGCUAACAUGCUAUUCCCUACAACAACACCUCAGCUCUAUCAUUAUAGACACUUAUCUGAAAAUUAAAAAUUUCUCAAUUAAGGAACUGAGCUGUUGCUGGAUAUAGUUGCUCAAACUUUUCCUAUUGUUGGCUCUGGAAAUCUGAAGAAUAUUGAUUUUAUAUUCAUGCAAUGAAAAGCAUCAGCGAGACAAAUUUUACCUUCAGAGGAUUAGGAUGAUUUUCUGUCCUUUUUAUUUCAGAUAGUCAUGCCCAGAUUAAACUGGAGGUGGCUACUUGCACUGUCAUCUGUGCCAUCAUUUGCUCUGCUUCUUUUAUAUGGUGUUGUUCCUGAGUCUCCGAGAUAUCUAUGCAUGAAAGGUAGAACAAGUGAUGCACUUCGAAUUCUGGAGAAGAUGACUUCAGUCAACCAAACAAAGCUUCCUCCUGGCAUACUUGUUUCUGGUAGAACAAUUGGCCAGGAUGAAGAGUGUACUCCACCAGAAGUUAUGAGCCCUUUACUCCCCUUACUAAGGGAAAAUAUCAUGCAAUCUAAAUCAGGCUUCUCAUCAUUUUUUAUGCUUUUCUCAUCAAGAUUAAUUCAAACAACCCUCCUCCUAUGGGUAUUAUACUUUGGAAAUUGUUUUUCAUAUUAUGGUAUCAUAUUGCUGACCUCGAAGCUAAGUAGUGGACAAAGUGGAUGUUUCGAAACUAUUUUGAGCUAUGGAAACCUCCACGACACUAGCCUCUAUGUGACUUCAUUUGUCACUAGUUUGGCAGGUAUUAUGUCUCAUUCCUGCUUCACACUUCAUUAUGCUCCAUUUUGAAAGCAAAUUUUACCUAAGUUUAUGUUGCAGAGCUUCCUGGGCUUCUUUUGUCAGCAAUAUUGAUCGAUAGGGUAGGCCGCAAGCAGUCCAUGGCACUGAUGUUUGUCAUAGCAUUUGUUUUCCUUCUUCCUCUGCUCACCCGUCAGUCUGCAGUUCUGACCACGUGCUUAUUAUUUGGAGCUCGCAUGUGUGCCAUGGGAACCUUCACAGUUGCCUGUAUAUACACCCCUGAGGUAAGCCCCGUUUAAUGCUUAUUUUAAUGGCUGUUUUUAGCAGGGGUUGACUUUUUGAAUUCCCCAAUUGCCAAUUUCUAACCUUUCACACUACCGAGGUUGUAUUUACGUAUGAAAGAAAUUCCAAGGUCUCCUAAGAGUUUUCAAUCUGUUUUGCUUACUCCAUAUCUUUGUUAAAUAUUAUUAGUGCCACUUGUUUACAAAUUCCUAAGCUAUAUUUUAAUUUUCUACAGUUAAAAUGUUAGGAACUGUUAAGUCUACAAUACUAAGGGAUCGUUGUUGUUCUCUUUAUUGCUUUAUAUCUGUUUAACAAAAUUUAAGCGGUCCAAAAGGAGCAAAUCUUUUAGUGAACUGCUAUUUUGCCCUAAGAAAUUUGCAUUUGAGUUGUCUGAACUGAUAUAAUGAUGUUGGUUUCUUCUUUUAUUUUCUACUUGCCAUGUUCUUGGAGUCAGUCUGCCAAUUGCCUUUCAGACUCUUUGUUCUUAAAGGCCAUGGGUGAUAUAUAUAUUUGGAAAACUGAAGAUCUUAUUACCAAGAAAAAGCUGGAAAACCUGUUACAAGUUCAACAAGCUGCAGUAGCAGCAUCCACAUUGAAAACAAAUUAAGUCAUUUACAGUCAAAAAUGCUGUCACUCAACCCCCAUUUUGUGCAGAUUUGGACAUGGAUAUUUUCCAUCGUAGUGGAGUGAUCAGAUUUGGGCACAUAGCAUCUAGUAUAGUUGUUCCUUGUGAAUCAUUUUAUGCCCAUUAAACUUGGGAUGUGGUUCUAGGUAAUAAGUUGAUAUAAGAAAUGUUUUUUCCUGUAGUUAUAUCCAACCCCAGUGCGGGCAACUGGUGCUGGAGUGGCAACUGCUAUGGGAAGAAUUGGUGGCGUGGUAUGUCCUCUUGUCGCAUGACCGAGUGCCAUCAAACAGCAGCUGUUGUCAUCUUUUUGGUUGUAUUAAUUCUUUCAGUAGUCUGUGUUCUGCUCUUCCCAUAUGAAACAAAGGGCCGGGAACUCAGUGAUUCUAUGGUUGGAUCUAGUUGAAACAAUUAAUUGUUGUCAGAACAUACCAUCAUUUGUUUUAAGGAAAAGAAAUGGUUUCCCUACCUGUCCACAUUGCUGCCGUUGAUUUUUCUUGUUUUUUCUUUUCCUUUUGAUAGAUGAGAGUAGCGGGUGGGGACGUAGGCUUGAAAACAUUUAAUUCAGGGAGAGAAUGUGGCUAUAAUUGGGCUAUUGCUUACGUUAUGUCCCUUGCUACUUUGUUCUGACGUUCAAAUGAGUGUUUUUACAAUAAACAUAUUUAAUUAUUUAAUAAGGUUAGGUGUAGGAGAGAAAAAUAUUUCAUGAUAUUAAAGUUGAAAGGAAAGAAAUCAAUCAAAACAAGUCUAAACCGAUACGAAAGGACGAAAUAAGCCAAAUAUAUAUGCACGAUGCAUUAAAACUCAAUCAGCCAAACCUAUAAAGGCUCCUAUUUCCGAAUCUCUACUCAAAUAACAACAAUAACUCCUGCUCCCUUUGCACCGCUUCUUUUGCUAACUGGUCGACCAUUUCAUUAGCUUCUUGAAGUGUAUGCUGAAUAUCCCAACUAGUAAUGGUACAUAUAACUAAUUCAAUAAACUUAUUGUGAUAAUAUAAUCUCCAUGGAGUAGAACUUGACUUUUUAACCCAGCCCAUUACAUUAAUAGGGUCAUUUUCUAUCAAACAACCCAUAAAAACAAACACAUAAUAACAAAAUAGUAUUUAGUUAUAUUAAUAUGUUAGUAGUAGAGAGUAGAAAAUUUUGCAAAGCCCUCCUAUCCACCACUCCUGCAGCCAUUCCCCCUCUAUUCCUCAAAAAACUUUCUCCCUCUGCUUGGUUUAUUUUUGGAGGAAGGAAUAACUAUUUCUCUGAAAUAAAAAUAAAUAAUCAUUUAUUAUAAUAAAAGAUAUUGUUGUCUUUUUAUCACUUAUUCUUUUGUUAUUCUAAAAUUAUUUUUACCAACCAAACAUUACAAUAAAUCAUAAUAGUAAUUUUUACCUUAAUCCAUUCCAUCAACUAAACUACAUAAUAAUAUUUUCAUUUUAUUUCUACCCUAUUCUAUUCUCAUAAAAUACCUAUUUUAUUCCAUUUCAUUUUAUUUCGCGAAUCAAACGUACUCUUACUUUAUAUAAAUAGUAUUACUUAGAUAUGUAAUAUCUUAAUGGUAAUUAAUUGAAUGUUAUUUAUGUAAUUUAUUCUAAUUCUGGAUAAUAUCUAUGUAUUCUAUAAGUACGGUAAUAACACUACAUAUAUAUAACAAAUUUCUACUAUCAAUGAUUUGCUACUACAAUAGGAAAUUUUGAUGCCAUUAGUUUUUUUAUCAAUAAGAUAGAAUUGCUCGAUUCAUGUCUAGUUAUGUCCUUAGAUUUUUUUAGGAUAAACCAAUUCAAAUUUUAACUAUUACCUUUUAAAAUAUAAAAUGAGCUUAAAAAAUUGAAAAUUAAAGAUGAGUUGGUUUGAUGAAAUUAUAAAGUAUUUUAUUUAUCUUUUAAUUCUAUUUUUAUCAAUUAUGCUCCACAUUUGAUCUUAUUUAAAUAUUUUUAUUCUUUUUAUUUUCAUUUAUACUACAUUUCUUUUAUGAUAAUUUGAAUUUAAGUUAGAAUAGUUAUUUGGAGCUUGUCAGUAAGAUUUCGACCUACGCAAGUACACAUAUUGAAUAGAUAGUAUAUUAAUAACCAGAGCAUUGAUUUCUCAAAGAAUUGACUUAAAAAUUUAUUGUGUACUAAAGUUAAAACAAUUUAGUUUUAUUCAAACAACUAAAAUUUAAUAACAAAUUAAACUAAAAACUACUCAACUAAACUAAUUAACACUAAUAGUUAAAGCAAAAAGAUAACUGAUUAAGAAUCAAAUUAGAAAAACCUAGGAUUACAAUAUCCCUCACACUUUAUUUAAACCUUACCUCUAUCUCUUAGCUUAAUCCAAUGGGUUAAAUUGCUAACCUAGAGUCCUCAAUUAUUUAUAAUGCUCUCUCGAGUUUCUUAUAAAAAUAUCUACUUUAACCAAAACUGUCAUAGCCCAAUUUUCGAGCCAUGACCGGCGUAAGGGCCUAAUGGGCUCAGCCCACUAAGCCCAAGCAAGCCUCUUUGUAUAAUCUUAUACUGAAAUACCCUAUACUUUGAUAUGGUGAUAAAUAAAGUUGAUCGGAUGCAAAUUGAGGUCAAUUAAAAUGUUUAAAAGUGAUAAAAGACGAAAGUAGUAGUUUAGGAUAAAUUAUUCCGUAAGUGAGAAAAUAACAAUAAAAUAAUAAUAAUUUUAUCGGAGGAGAAUUUGUGAGAUAAAAAGCGAUUCGGAAGUCAAGUGAGGCAUAAUAGGGUAUUUUGAGUACCAAGGAGACAAGAUAAAGUUUUUAGAAUAAAAUAAUAUUUUAUUAAUAAAAUAAUAUUAAAAUAUUAAUAUUUAGCCGGAUGUCGAAAUCAGUCAUGAAGAAGGAUUAUAUGGUUGAUCCAAGUGGGGGCGAAGAUGACAAACCCGACUCUAUAAAAAUAUUUGUCAUGACAUACAUGUGAUGGAUAGCAUGUUUGCAUGCUAGGAGAGUCUCGAAAAAUUUACAAAAGUCGAUAUGAUACCUAGAGGUACAAUAAAGUUGAUUUAAGCCUCGAACUAGAUCAAAUAGAGAAUUUAUGAUGAAAUUAAGAAUUCUAAAGUCCCAGAAUGGUUUAAUAUGGUGAUUCGGAGUUCGAGGAUCAAUUUGGAGUCAAACCGGAAUUUUCGCUAUCUAGGGGCAAAAUGGUCAUUUACCACCUCGAGACAAAAUGGAAAUUUUUAGAAACAAUUUUUGGCCCCAUUUGACUUAUUGGAGUAUGAUUUGAGGUUUAGAAGUGGAAAAUUUUUUUAAUUUCGGUAUAAUUUGGAGUAUAUGGGUAAAAUGGUAAUUUUACCACCCCAAGGGCAAAACAGUAAUUUUUCAUCACCAGGACAUUUUUCCAGCACAUGGUCAUCCCUUAUCCUCAUUUUGACCAUUGACUAAUUGUGUGGUGGAGAUAAAAAGGAUUAAAAUUUUUAAAGUUUUAAAAACGAGCCAAUGACAUGAUGCCACGUGUCAUGCCUUUAUUAAUUUAUUAUUUUUCUUUUUAAAAGGCACAAAAAUCAGCCCAUCUUCCACCCCAUGGCCGGCCAAACCAGCAAGAAGAGAGAGAAAAUAAAAGCAAAACCCUAGAGAGAGAAAAUCAAAGAAAAAGUAUGAAUUUUCAAGGAAAUUAAGUGAAAAAGGUGAGAUUUUUUCUAUUAAGCUUGAGUUUUCUUAUUCCCAAGCAUUUCUCUUUAUUUUCCAUGAUUAAAUUACAUGUNAAAUUAAGUAGAAAAGGUGAGAUUUUUUCUAUUAAGCUUGAGUUUUCUUAUUCCCAAGCAUUUCUCCUUAUUUUCCAUGAUUAAAUUACAUGUUUUCAUGAUUAAUUGAUGGCUGAUCAAAAUGGGUUAGGAGAGAGAAAGUUGUUAGAUUAAUUUGAUUUUAAGUUAUGUUAGUGUUUUUAGUUAGUUUACCAUAUUUAAGAACAAAACAACAAUAAAAGAAUUUAUUUUCUUCCAUUACCAUUAUUGGCCGAAUUUUCUUAGGGAAUAUUGGCUGAUAAUCUUGAUGUUUAUUUGAGGAAUUAUGAUGAAUAAUGAUGAAUUAUGAGCCUAGAAAAAUAAUGAGAAUUUUCGGAGCAAAAAUAUGAAUUUUUACCCACUAGGGGUAUUUUCGUAAUUUGCUAUCGAGACUGAUAAAUUGAAUCUCAUUCACAGUCACUAAGGUAAUGUAAGUAUAAUUGGAGUGUAGAAAAGUGAGAAGAAUUGAUUUGGAGUUAAAUUGGAGAUAAUAGGCCGAAUUAGGUCAGCAUCGCAUUUAAGCGGUAGUCGGAUAAGUUGUAUAUCAUAUCAUGCAUAUAUACCGAGCCUGAAUUGAUUUUAUAAUGGUCAAGCAUUGAUGUGGUGAAUUAUGUAUUGUAUAUUGUGGAUAGGUGGUGAGCAAAGUACACUAAUAAAAGUACAGAGAUUGUGCUUGGAGAUUGGGAUUAGGAGUACAUCGACUCCUAGAAUUGUGAGUGAACUUAUUAUUGUCUUAAUUAUCUAGAGUAGUUUUAUACAACUAUGUGGUUUUAUGAAAAAUGGGUUUAAAUGGCAAAUUGCUAUGUUUUAAGAGAAAUUGUGAUUUUAUAAAAUGAUUUUAUAAAUUUUCUGGAAAAUCGAAUACUGGUUUUGAAAAUAGAGUAAUUGGAGACUGCUUGCUUGUGUUGUAAAUUUAUGGUUUUAAAUUGAAUGGCUUAUGACAAUAUAUGAGCAUGAAUGGCUAAACUGAUUUUGGUGUUAGAAUUAUUUGUAUUGAGUAUUCAGCCUUGAGAGGCUAGGUUGCGAUAAAUUGCCAUGUCAUGGUAGAAUGAAUUUUAUUGAUUGAUGGAGUAUAUAUUAAUUAUUCACUGUAGAGGGGGUUCCGUGGACCAGCCUAUUAGAGGGGCACGGUAAACUCCAUUAUAUUCUUACCUCGAACGGAGAGGCGCAUAGGGUAUCUCCUGGAGUAAAGCUUAGGGUUCACUUCACGCCAAACCACCACGUGAAGAGAAACUCAGCCAACGCCAAAGAACGACUGUAUUUUUCUCAAACUAAAAAUAUAUUUUAAGUGUAUACGAAAUUUUAACAGCCUUUGCGGACUCGAUUGGAUGCCCUGCGCAAGGUAUCACCGAGUAUGAGUAUUGGCACGAGCCAAAGUUUUAAGAAAUUCAUAAGCGAAGUUGAUUACUCUAUUUAUAUGGAUUGUUUUUAUUUGGUUGAAAUGAGUUGAAAGGUAAUGAAAUUACAGUAUGAUAACUUAUUUCAAUUGUCUCCAUUUACUCGACUUUAGAUAGUUUAGAUGGUAUCUGUUUACUCACUGGGAUUUUAUAAUCUCACCACCCUCAUUUCCUCACAUUUCAGGCUCGGGGAAUUCCAUAGUUAGCUGACUUGACAAGGACCUUCAUUUGGACUCGAAUCGGUAAAAGCUGUAAGUUUCUAGCUUCCGAUGCAUUUUGGUUAGAUGUGGGCCCACGUGUCACUGUAAAAGAAAUUUUAUGCUUUGG